rnacentral:rRNA from 1 species
CAUACAUUAAAAGAGUGCGUAAUAGCUCACUGGUCGAGUGACCCUGCGCCGAAAAUUUAACGGGGCUAAAACCUGUACCGAAGCUUGGGAAGUUAGACAUUAGACAGUAGACGUUAGACGUUAGCAAGGGCAAGGAAAUGAGGCGGUCAGUGAAAUGGGAUAUGGACGGUUGAAAGUGUAUGAAAAAGCAUAUACCGCUACACUGGAAAUAUACCGAAUGAGCAAAUCGUUUCCGGAAACGGAACGAUACGGCAUGACCGAUCAGAUCCGUUGAAGCGCGAUGAGUAUUGCGCUGAAUAUUGCAGAAGGUUACAGCAAACGAGAUAGCGAUGCGGAGUUCAAACGGUAUCUGCGCAUGGCGAUAGGUUCGGCGAACGAGGUUGCUGUACUGCUGGAUUUUGCAAGAGAUUUAAGAUAUAUACAAUUGCCUGAGCACGAGAAACUGCACAUCGCCUACGAUGAGAUCGGCCGCAUGGUAAACGGUUUGAUCCAGUCGCUGGGUUAGUUGUGCACAGACGAACGACUAACGACUAGUGUCUAAUGUCUAACUUGGUAGGAGAGCGUCAUAUGCGGGGCGAAGUCAGAGCGUGAGCGCUGGUGGACUGCAUAUGAGUGAGAAUGCCGGAAUGAGUAGCGAGAAUUAUGUGAGAAUCAUAAUGGCCGAAAGUCUAAGGUUUUUGAAGGAAGGUUCGUCCGCUUCAAGAUAGUCGGGAGCUAAGGCGAGGCCGAAAGGCGUAGUCGAUGCACAUACGGUUGAUAUUCCGUAACCGUCAAAAGAUUUAACCAAGGGGACACUCCGAAAGGGCGCAACCCAGGCGUUGGUUGACCUGGGCGUAAGGGACCGAAAUUAGAGUAGGGAAGUGCGCGUGGACGGAGGCGAGAAAAGCCUUGUGAAUAUCUGAGACGCCCGUACCGCAAACCGACACAGGUAGACAGGAAGAGGAUUCUAAGGCCAACGGGAGAAGGGUAGUUAAGGAACUCGGCAAAUUGACCCCGUAACUUCGGGAAAAGGGGUGCUCGUGAAAGCGAGCCGCAGUGAAUAGGCCCAGGCAACUGUUUAGCAAAAACACAGGUCUCUGCGAAAUCGAAAGAUGAUGUAUAGGGGCUGACACCUGCCCAGUGCCGGAAGGUUAAGAGGAGAGGUUCCCGCCUUGAAUCGAAGCCCCGGUGAACGGCGGCCGUAACUAUAACGGUCCUAAGGUAGCGAAAUUCCUUGUCGGGUAAGUUCCGACCCGCACGAAUGGUGUAAUGAUCUGGGCACUGUCUCAACUGCCCGCCCGGCGAAAUUGUAGUACCGGUGAAGAUGCCGGUUACCCGCGACAAGACGGAAAGACCCCAUGGAGCUUUACUGCAGUUUACUAUUGGGUUUCGAUAUCUUAUGUACAGGAUAGGCGGGAGGCUAGGAAGCAAGGGCGCCAGCCCAUGCGGAGCCAUCCUUGGGAUACCGCUCUUAAGAUAUUGGAAUUCUAACCUGUGGCCGUGAAUCCGGUCAGGGGACAUUGGUAGAUGGGCAGUUUGACUGGGGCGGUCGCCUCCAAAAGCGUAACGGAGGCGCUCAAAGGUUCGCUCAGCACGGACGGAAACCGUGCUUUAGAGUGUAAACGCAUAAGCGAGCCUAACUGCGAGACCGACGGGUCGAGCAGUAACGAAAGUUGGAGUUAGUGAUCCGGCGGUAUGAGAGUGGAAUUGCCGUCGCUCAACGGAUAAAAGCUACCCUGGGGAUAACAGGCUGAUCUCCCCCA